rnacentral:rRNA from 1 species
UGAGAGCGGCGCACGGGUGCGGAACACGUGUGCAACCUGCCUUUAUCUGGGGGAUAGCCUUUCGAAAGGAAGAUUAAUACCCCAUAAUAUAUUGACUGGCAUCAGUUGAUAUUGAAAACUCCGGUGGAUAGAGAUGGGCACGCGCAGGAUUAGAUAGUUGGUGAGGUAACGGCUCACCAAGUCAACGAUCCUUAGGGGGCCUGAGAGGGUGAUCCCCCACACUGGUACUGAGACACGGACCAGACUCCUACGGGAGGCAGCAGUGAGGAAUAUUGGACAAUGGGUGAGAGCCUGAUCCAGCCAUCCCGCGUGAAGGACGACGGCCCUAUGGGUUGUAAACUUCUUUUGUAUAGGGAUAAACCUACCCUCGUGAGGGUAGCUGAAGGUACUAUACGAAUAAGCACCGGCUAACUCCGUGCCAGCAGCCGCGGUAAUACGGAGGGUGCAAGCGUUAUCCGGAUUUAUUGGGUUUAAAGGGUCCGUAGGCGGAUCUGUAAGUCAGUGGUGAAAUCUCACAGCUUAACUGUGAAACUGCCAUUGAUACUGCAGGUCUUGAGUGUUGUUGAAGUAGCUGGAAUAAGUAGUGUAGCGGUGAAAUGCAUAGAUAUUACUUAGAACACCAAUUGCGAAGGCAGGUUACUAAGCAACAACUGACGCUGAUGGACGAAAGCGUGGGGAGCGAACAGGAUUAGAUACCCUGGUAGUCCACGCCGUAAACGAUGCUAACUCGUUUUUGGAUUUUCGGAUUCAGAGACUA